CAGAUCGAGAGUCAUCUGCAGGAUGUGAUUGGAUGAUAUUGUAUGGUAUUCAGAAAUGCCUCCAAGGAAUGGGUGCUGUUGCCAGGCUAUGCCAAAUGAACAUUUCUUGUCCGACAAGGGGAGGCAUCGCCAGGUAAACAUGGCUUAUGUCACAGUUGACCAUUGGACAGUGAUGAAUAUGGUCAUCGAUGAAGACAGAUGUGAUGCUUAUUGUAGGCCUGGAUGAUUGUUUGAAAAGUUUAGUGUGAACCUAAAGAAAUAAUCCAAAAGCAAAGUUUUUGUAAAGACUUGUUUUCGCCACAUACCUCUACCUCUACCUCGAAAAUGUUUGUGAAGAUAGUCUAAACUAGUUGUUUAGAUGAGCUGUCAGUGUAUUCAAUUUCUGAUAUCUGGGACUCUGGCGAAAGAAUUACGUACCAUAAAAUGAAACAACUCAGAUUGAAUAAAAUGAUUAUUCUGAAA